CAAGUGGGAGUACUCCUUCUAAGCUAAAUAUCACCACGAGACCGAUAGCGAACAAGUACCGUGAGGGAAAGUUGAAAAGCACUCUGAAUAGAGAGUCAAAAAGUACGUGAAACUGCCUAGGGCUCAAGCCCGUUGAACUCGAUUAUCCGAGCGGAGACAUUCACCUGCGGGCGGGCCGGCAACGGCACAGCCGCAGGGCACUUGUCUCUCGCACUAGCCAAGAGGACACUGCGAUCCAUUACGAAACAGCUUUCGCGCCGCAAGGCGCAAGGUCGCCCGACAACUGCCCCCUGGUGCUGGUUGGUUGCCCCACAGUAGCGACGCUCAGUUCUGAAGGCCUGUGCCGCGAGCUGGGGCUUACUGCACGUGGUGUUCUGCAGUCGGGCGCGUGAUGGAUUCCCCCGGACACCGGGUGGUCUUCCCGCAAGGGGCCACCGGACUGUCGAUCGGCAGUGAAAGAAUCGAGGUACCUUCGGGACCCGUCUUGAAACACGGAC
rnacentral:rRNA from 1 species